rnacentral:rRNA from 1 species
ACAAGCGGCGGAGCAUGCGGAUUAAUUCGAUGCAACGCGAAGAACCUUACCAAGGCUUGACAUACAGGGAAAUCUCGCAGAGAUGUGAGGUCCGCAAGGGUCCUGUACAGGUGGUGCAUGGUUGUCGUCAGCUCGUGUCGUGAGAUGUUGGGUUAAGUCCCGCAACGAGCGCAACCCCUCGUCCUAUGUUGCCAGCGGGUUAUGCCGGGGACUCAUAGGAGACUGCCGGGGUCAACUCGGAGGAAGGUGGGAUGACGUCAAAUCAUCAUGCCCCUUAUGUCUUGGGCUUCACGCAUGCUACAAUGGCCGGUACAAAGGGCUGCGAUACCGCGAGGUGGAGCGAAUCCCAGAAAGCCGGUCUCAGUUCGGAUUGGGGUCUGCAACUCGACCCCAUGAAGUCGGAGUCGCUAGUAAUCGCAGAUCAGCAACGCUGCGGUGAAUACGUUCCCGGGCCUU